ACUCGCCAAUGGAUGAUGAUCUAUACUUGAUCUUGAGAUAAUGAAAGUUCAUCUAGGCCUCCUAGUAGAUAUUUGUUGUUGAAUGGUAGAGCUAUUAAAGUACUAACGAGUUUGGUGCACCUUGGAUAUAUGUUUCAUUGCAAAUAAUAGUAUCAAACCUUUGUCAUUUCUCAAAUUGAAGAAAUGGUGAGCAAAGUGAGAAGGCAAAAGAGAGAAGGUUACAAUGGCUAUUAAUUAGCCCCAAUGGUGGCUU
rnacentral:lncRNA from 1 species